rnacentral:rRNA from 1 species
CCUACGGGAGGCUGCAGUGAGGAAUAUUGGUCAAUGGACGAGAGUCUGAACCAGCCAAGUAGCGUGAAGGAUGACUGCCCUAUGGGUUGUAAACUUCUUUUAUAUGGGAAUAAAACGUUCCACGUGUGGGAUUUUGUAUGUACCAUAUGAAUAAGGAUCGGCUAACUCCGUGCCAGCAGCCGCGGUAAUACGGAGGAUCCGAGCGUUAUCCGGAUUUAUUGGGUUUAAAGGGAGCGUAGGUGGAUUGUUAAGUCAGUUGUGAAAGUUUGCGGCUCAACCGUAAAAUUGCAGUUGAAACUGGCAGUCUUGAGUACAGUAGAGGUGGGCGGAAUUCGUGGUGUAGCGGUGAAAUGCUUAGAUAUCACGAAGAACUCCGAUUGCGAAGGCAGUUCACUGGACUGCAACUGACACUGAGGCUCGAAAGUGUGGGUAUCAAACAGGAUCAGAUACCCGUGUAGUC